UGGGGAAUCAUGGUCAAUGGGCGAAAGCCUGAACCUGCGACGCCGCGUGAGUGAUGAUGGUCGUAAGAUCGUAAAACUCUUUUCAGGGAUCUUAAGGCACAACCGUCAACAACGGCUGUGUGUGACUCUCCCUGGAAGAAGCCCCAGCCAACUACGUGCCAGCAGCUGCGGUAAUACGUAGGGGGCGAGCGUUAUUCGGAAUUACUGGGUGUAAAGGGUAUGUAGGCGGAUCAGUAAGUCGGACGUUUAAUCCUCGGUCUUAAGCUGAGACAUGCGUUUGAUACUGUUGAUCUAGAAUGCGGCGGGGGAAGACGGAAUUCCGGGUGUAGCGGUGGAAUGCGCAGAUAUCCGGAGGAACACCGAAGGCGAAGGCAGUCUUCCAUACCGUAAUUGACGCUGAACUGCGAAGGUGUGGGGAUCAAACA
rnacentral:rRNA from 1 species